GCUAUCGGUGGCUCGAGGGUAAGCCUCUUGGAAUAGAGCGUAAACUUGGGUGAGAAUCCUUUGUUUCGCUCGGUGUCCGCUGUGUACGGCGCAUGUUCUCANAGUCACGUUCCUCGGACUUGGAGCGUAAAUUAGGUGGUAGAUUUCAUCUAAAGCUAAAUAAAGGCCCAAGACCGAUAGCGAACAAGUACCAUGAGGGAAAGAUGAAAAGGACUUUGGAAAGAGAGUUAAAAGUGCUUGAAAUCGCUGGAAGGGAAGCGAAUGCAACCACACUCUCUGCUGAGAUUGCCGCGGGCGCUUGCAAGCUCUGAGCUCANAANCNCAAGCUCUGUGUUUGGCUGUGCGCGGGCGCUCGUGGUGUUUCUUAGUGAAGAUAUCAGGUGUCACGUACGUUCGAACAGGGCCUUGAGCAUGCAUUUGUCGCUCGNGAGCGAUAUCCUGUGCUCCGUGGGAUUCGGACAUAUGUGGCUUACUGAUUCAGUGGUUUUUUU
rnacentral:rRNA from 1 species